UGCUCCACGUGCAGUCAGCCCGAGCAUGCCAUGCAACGAUUUCAAGCGUGCAGGUUACUGACACUGAGGAGAAGACUGUUGGAGUGUAACCGAAUACUUGGCGAAAUUGCACACAUAUUAGUCCAUACCUUUAAUGAACCAAUGAACAUGACAACAUCACACGUAUCACACAGUCGACAUAAUGAUACGGGGCGAUCAACGAGCGGAGAAUUGUUCGCCAUCCACGCGCAUGCGCAACAGCUUCUUCUUCAAACAAAACUCAUUGGUGACUUUUCCUACUAUUCUUUCGACCAAUCAAACAUCAGCAA